rnacentral:rRNA from 1 species
AACCCCUUUGGGGUGUAAACUCCUUUUAGUGGGGACKAACGCAGACGGUACCCACAGAAAAAGCCCCGGCUAACUACGUGCCAGCAGCCGCGGUAAUACGUAGGGGGCGAGCGUUGCCCGAAUUUACUGGGCGUAAAGCGCACGUAGGCGGCUCCGUAAGUCUGGUGUGAAAUCUCMCGGCUCAACCGGGAGSMUGCACCAGAUACUGCGGAUCUYGAGGGCGGGAGAGGAGAUUGGAAUUCCCGGUGUAGCGGUGAAAUGCAUUGAUAUCGGGAGGAACACCAGUGGCGAAGGCGGMUCUCUGGCCCGCUUCUGACGCUGAGGYGCGAAAGCUGGGGGAKCGAAMGGGAUUAGAUACCCCKGUAGUCCCAGCCCUAAACGAUGGGCGCUAGGUGUUGGGGSAUUAACUSUCAGCGCCGUAGCUAACGCAUUAAGC